rnacentral:rRNA from 1 species
UCCGUAGGUGGCAAGCGUUGUCCGGAAUUACUGGGUGUAAAGCGCGUGUAGGCGGCAGACCAAGUCGGCGGUGAAAGCGCCCGGCUCAACUGGGCGAGGUCCGUGGAAACUGGUCAGCUGGAGGACGGUAGAGGCGAGUGGAAUUCCCGGUGUAGUGGUGAAAUGCGUAGAGAUCGGGAGGAACACCUGUGGCGAAAGCGGCGCACUGGACCACAACUGACGCUGAGGCGCGAAAGCUAGGGGAGCAAACAGG